rnacentral:lncRNA from 1 species
AGGGAGAUUCUUUACCAGCUGAGCCACAAGGGAAACCCAAGAAUACUGGAGUGGGUAGCUUAUCUCUUCACCAGCAGAUCUUCCUGACCCAGGAAUUGAACCAGAGUCUCCUGCAUUGCAGGUAGAUUUUUUACCAGCUGAGCUACCGGGGAAGGCCAUAGAUGGGCUAUCUGGGGCUGAACUGAAGCAAGCUCUUGGUAACUGUGAUUACACAGGAAAACGUGAGCAAUUGCUGCCUGACUAAAAAAAGUAAAUACACAACAUAGAAACAAGAGGAAAUGAGUUUCCCAGGUCAGAAACCGCUAUAAGAACAGAGAGAGUCUCCUGGCAUUUUCUCCAAGAAAAGUCAGUCUCCAAUAAAUCAGCUUUUGGAGGCAUGGCUCCUGUAUAGCUGUAAAAGAGGAACAGAGGCAGAUGGAAUAUAGGGAAACUACUUGACCCUGCAGAGCUAAGUUUAAAUCUCCUUUUCUAAAGUAUUUUCCACAGAUUCAGGGUUUGAGGGAGAAUCAGCUUAACAAAAGAAAUGGAGAAUCAACUCAAACUGGCAGGCUUUUAAUACCAGCCUCAAGACAAAAACAUCAUGGAGGAACAUCCUCUGUACAUUAAGACAACAACAAAAUAAUUGCAACGAUGAGAAUAAAAAUUUGUGUAGUUCAUUUUCCCAUGAAAGACCAAAUAGGAGUUCCCUGUGAAAGAAUAGCCUUUGCGUAAAAUUUGUUCAUCAUUAUUUUCAGAGCAGAUGGGGCCAGAAUCAGCUCAAGCUUCUCACGACAGACACCAGCCAAAUUUGCCACUAAUUAGCAAUGCCCCACACUGUUAAAUGGCCUGCGCCUUCCAUUU